CCUACGGGGGGCAGCAGUGAGGAAUAUUGGUCAAUGGACGAGAGUCUGAACCAGCCAAGUAGCGUGAAGGAUGACUGCCCUAUGGGUUGUAAACUUCUUUUAUAAAGGAAUAAAACGAGGCACGUGUGCCUUUUUGCAUGUACUUUAUGAAUAAGGAUCGGCUAACUCCGUGCCAGCAGCCGCGGUAAUACGGAGGAUCCGAGCGUUAUCCGGAUUUAUUGGGGUUAAAGGGAGCGUAGAUGGGUUGUUAAGUCAGUUGUGAAAGUUUGCGGCUCAAACGUAAAAUUGCAAUUGAUACUGGCAGUCUAGAGUACAGUUGAGGUAGGCGGAAUUCGUGGUGUAGCGGUGAAAUGCUUAGAUAUCACGAAGAACCCCGAUUGCGAAGGCAGCUUACUAAACUGUGACUGACAUUGAUGCUCGAAAGUGUGGGUAUCAAACAGGAUUAGAUACCCUUGUAGUC
rnacentral:rRNA from 1 species